rnacentral:rRNA from 1 species
UUAAAUUGAAGAGUUUGAUCAUGGCUCAGAUUGAACGCUGGCGGCAGGCCUAACACAUGCAAGUCGAACGGUAACAGGAAUCAGCUUGCUGAUUCGCUGACGAGUGGCGGACGGGUGAGUAAUGUCU